CUUGACAUCCAGAGAAUUUAGCAGAGAUGCUUUAGUGCCUUCGGGAACUCUGAGACAGGUGCUGCAUGGCUGUCGUCAGCUCGUGUUGUGAAAUGUUGGGUUAAGUCCGCAACGAGCGCAACCCUUAUCCUUUGUUGCCAGCACGUAAUGGUGGGAACUCAAAGGAGACUGCCGGUGAUAAACCGGAGGAAGGUGGGGAUGACGUCAAGUCAUCAUGGCCCUUACGAGUAGGGCUACACACGUGCUACAAUGGCGUAUACAAAGAGAAGCGACCUCGCGAGAGCAAGCGGACCUCAUAAAGUGCGUCGUAGUCCGGAUUGGAGUCUGCAACUCGACUCCAUGAAGUCGGAAUCGCCAGUAAUCGUAAAUCAGAAUGUUACGGUGAAUACGUUCCCGGGCCUUGUACACACCGCCCGUCACACCAUGGGAGUGGGUUGCAAAAGAAGUAGAUAGCUUAACCUUCGGGAGGGCGUUUACCACUUUGUGAUUCAUGACUGGGGUGAAGUCGUAACAAGGUAAGCGUAGUGCU
rnacentral:rRNA from 1 species